rnacentral:rRNA from 1 species
CUAAGUUUGAUGGCGACCGGCGCACGGGUGAGUAACACGUAUCCAACCUGCCGAUGACUCGGGGAUAGCCUUUCGAAAGAAAGAUUAAUACCCGAUGGCAUAGUUCUUCCGCAUGGUAGAACUAUUAAAGAAUUUCGGUCAUCGAUGGGGAUGCGUUCCAUUAGGUUGUUGGCGGGGUAACGGCCCACCAAGACUCGAUGGAUAGGGGUUCUGAGAGGAAGGUCCCCCACAUUGGAACUGAGACACGGUCCAAACUCCUACGGGAGGCAGCAUG